AAAUUUAUUUUUCUUUAAAGAACCUUUAAAGUACAUAAAAAGGAUAAAUAAUUAAAGGUAGAAAGAAGAAAGUUCCAUAAGGGAAAAAUGGCAUCUCAUAAUCAAAUAACUAGAAUUAUCAUUACAUUUGUUUUGAUUCCAUUACUCACAUUUCAAUGUCAUGUAUGUUCACAAGACAAAGUUAACUUGUCCUUGUAUUAUGAAUCUCUGUGUCCAUAUUGUGCAGAUUUCAUUGUGAACCAAUUAGUUAAAGUUCUCCAAACAGAUCUUGGUUCAAUUGUGAAUCUUAGGCUUGUUCCUUGGGGUAAUACUCAGAUUGCACCUAAUACUAGCUGGAUUUGUCAGCAUGGAACAGAUGAGUGUCAGCUAAACACAGUGGAAGCUUGUGCUAUCAAGGUUUGGUCAAAUCUGGAAACACAUUUCAAGCUUAUAAGUUGCAUAGAACAAUUGCAUCUGCAAAACAAACACUCAUCAUGGCAAUCUUGUUUUGGUUCAACUGGUUUAAGCCUAAAUCCCAUCGAGAAUUGCUACAAUAAUGGACUUGGAUAUCAGCUAGAGACAGCAUACGCAGAUGAAACUACAAAACUGAAACCUCCUCAUAGGUUUGUACCAUGGCUGCUAGUAAAUAAUCAGCCACUUCAAGAAUAAAACUAACUGAAGUCGUCCUAUCCAAAUUUGCUCAAGACUUAUAAAGAAGAAGAACAAGAAUAAAAAGAAGUAGGUUUCAACUACAACUCUCCAAUCCUCCAAUCUUUGUGGGUUUUUGACAUCAAGUCAUUGAAGGCUUUUGAGACAACUUUGAAGGAAAACUUGGAAUCCUCAUUCAUCCAAGUUGGGUAGGUCCUCACUUUCCGAGGGCAAUGUCACUAUCAAGCUAUCAAUGUUGUUCUAGUCUUAAAGACAAUAUGUUCAUUUCUUUCAUUUGAGUGUUAAAGAUUGUAUAGCCUAUAUGUAGUUUUAUUGUAUUGAUGUAUGGGCUAUGCUCGAUUGUUAUACUCUUGUUUAGAUGCUUAUGAGAUUCCUAUACGAAGGGUCUAUGUUUAAUUGAUAUGAAUAUAUAUUAUGUGUAUCGUAGAGGUCUAUGUAAACCUUAAGAUAUAUAUACGAAAGUUUAAAAAUUUUCUGCAGUUUAACCUAUGAAUGUAAUGAUGUAAGCUAAGAGGCUACUCUUAAUCCUCAAAGAAGAUGAUGACGUCGAUUACGUCUAGGGGGUGCUCCCCAGAUGUGAUAAUAAAUGUCUAGACAGGCCAACAACAUCCUAAUGAACUUACUAAUGCUCAAGACAGUAAAAAAAGAGUUCUUCAGAAUGCAAGGAGGCUCACCAACUGACUCUGGAUUGCUCACUGGAUCAACGAUGCGCUGGAUGUCGAUCCUAGUUACCUGUGUAUGCAUCAUAAUAAGAUGCAGACCAAAUGACAUCAAUACAUUGAAUGUACGAGUAUGCGAGGGGAAUUCUAAAACAAUACAUAAGCUUGAAAGGAAUUGAAGAACUAAUCUGGCUCAACUCAACUCAACAUAGCUGAACUCAUUUCAAUAUAAAGUAGUUUAAAACUACUGUAAUAUAAAUAAAAGUUACUUAAAACGUGAUAUCAACUCUAUGUGUAUGCAAAGAUACAUAUAACUCUGAAAUGUAUGUAAAAAUAUAAAUUAACUGUGUAUAUAAGAAUAUACUUACUUCUAUUG